AUUGCUAUAAACUAUCCCUUCCAGAACUACGACACCAAGGUUGCUGGAGAAAAUUCUAUAAAUUUUGACCGAACAUCAGCAGGAAUUAAACAGAAUCUAGGUGGAGCUCUAGAAAGUUGGACUGAAGGCAGUGGGAACAGAAAAUUACAAAAUCUUAUCAAAGAUUACUGGUUAUGGUUUGCUACCGGAGUUGUAGCUCUCACCUAUGCUUCAGGAAGAAAAAGACGAUCUGUAGAUCAGAAACCUUGGACCGAGGAGGAAGUUUAUGUGGAGCCCAGGAUUUCAAGGGAUUGGAACACUCUGAAGAAACGAAUCCAUCUUUAAAAAACUGUUUUAAUGGAAAAAAAUUGUUAAAAUAUU